GGGUUGUGAGGUUAAGCGACUAAGCGUACACGGUGGAUGCCCUGGCAGUCAGAGGCGAUGAAGGACGUGCUAAUCUGCGAUAAGCGCCGGUAAGGUGAUAUGAACCGUUAUAACCGGCGAUUUCCGAAUGGGGAAACCCAGUGUGAUUCGUCACACUAUCAUUAACUGAAUCCAUAGGUUAAUGAGGCGAACCGGGGGAACUGAAACAUCUAAGUACCCCGAGGAAAAGAAAUCAACCGAGAUUCCCCCAGUAGCGGCGAGCGAACGGGGAGGAGCCCAGAGCCUGAAUCAGCAUGUGUGUUAGUGGAAGCGUCUGGAAAGGCGCGCGAUACAGGGUGACAGCCCCGUACACAAAAGCGCAUGUGCUGUGAGCUCGAUGAGUAGGGCGGGACACGUGGUAUCCUGUCUGAAUAUGGGGGGACCAUCCUCCAAGGCUAAAUACUCCUGACUGACCGAUAGUGAACCAGUACCGUGAGGGAAAGGCGAAAAGAACCCCGGCGAGGGGAGUGAAAAAGAACCUGAAACCGUGUACGUACAAGCAGUGGGAGCCCCACCACUAAGCCAGUGGUGAACUCCACAUACGCAUCCUUUGCUGAGGAUACGGUUAACGGAGCGAAAGCGACGUUCAACCUCAAAAGAAGCAGAGGGGGCUUAG
rnacentral:rRNA from 1 species